rnacentral:rRNA from 1 species
UAGCGAACAAGUACCGUGAGGGAAGAUGAAAAGAACUUUGAAAAGAGAGUUAAACAGUACGUGAAAUUGUUGAAAGGGAAACGAUUGAAGUCAGUCAUACCAACGGGAAAUCAACCUUUUGAGCUUGGUCUCGUGGGUUUUGAAGAGUUUCAAAGCCUUCGGAUUCGCGGGAUUGGGAUCUCUUGGUGUACUUUUUCGUACGGUUAGUCAACAUCGGUUUUGAAUGUCAUAAAAUGACUGGAGGAAUG